ACUGGAUUUCUGGUGAUGACAAUAGCAGCAGAUAGUAUGCGGCUCAGUUAAUACUAAAAACAAUUGAUUUUACUAAUUAGUGGACUAUGAGUGUGUGUUUGGCCAUCCAGAUUUUAUAACUACAACUGAUGUUCAAUUACAAGGGAUAUUAAUCAGUCUCCGUGGACUAUACACUGUGCCUAGUUUCAUCCUCAGAGACUGAUGUGUAAGCUUAAAGUAAAGACAUCAAAUCAAAGUAUCAGCCAUCAAGAGGAAAAACAUUCAAAUCAUAUUGUGAUACACAAGUCAAGCAAGUCUGACCAGCAUUUUGAUACAGGCCAAGAAAAAGCUGGAUACUUGAUUGGAAGGGUCGCACAAAAAACAUGGGUUAUCACUAGGGAAACAAGCUCGCAAUACAGUUCACUGUUAGGACAGCAAGCCAAAUACUUCUAAACUUAUUUGAAUCAUUUUUGCUGUUUAUUAUAAUUCAUCCAAUUGUCUUA